CCUUGCCUCAGGGUCGGCUUCUGGAGAAACCAAAACAGAGACAGAGGAUGGAGGGCUUUCUUCUGAGCCCACGUGACCCUGCUGAUCAGAGGAGGCCACGAGUCCGGAGGGUGAGCCUUGGCAUCGGUCCACUGCUCUCCAUGGCAACCUGGCUGAUAUACCUGUUUAUAUAUUACAUCCAGUGAAUUCUGAAGUGUCUCACUGAUAGAACAUGGGCUGUAAGAAGAAAGAACACCCUUGCAAACCUGAUCAUAUCUCCCAUGCGGUCCUGACGUCGCUGGUGGACGGAGGGACUAACAUCCAGGUAGGAGAUGUGGGAGAAA